UUUGUUGUUCACCACAAUAUCCCAAAUUUGACUGAUAAUAAGUUUAUGGUUAAUUUUAGUAACAUGUAAUUUAUGGUUACGAAUAUAUUAAUCAGUAGUUUUUUAACACAUGGAGCAAUUUAAUGUAGUUAAAUGGAUGGUUUUCUUGUUUAUGUUUAGCUUAUCCAAUUCCCAACGUAGAAUCUUAAAUGGACAUGUAGUUGAAGGCGAGAAGCCCUACAUGGUUUAUUUACUUAAAAGUCCAGAAUCACACGCACGCUACCUAGGGUGGACGUGUGGUGGUGCAAUCGUACAUCCUUUACACGUCCUCACUUCUGCUACUUGCGUAAGAGACGUAUAUAAUGUCUUUGUAAUCUCUGGAAUGAAAAAAUAUAUAAAUGAGAAAGAAAUGGACUUCCACCCAUGUACCAACAGAAUA